UAAUUUUAGGUAUGAUGUACUAAUCUAAAUUUUAUCAAUAGGUUUUUAAAGAAUUGUCAGUUGCUGUCAGUUUAAAGGCACUUACUAUGAAGGUCAUUAUUUCAUACACCUAUCUUGGUUUGCAGUUGCAGGCUGUAGCAUUACAGCUGAGGUGUAUCAUGUAGUAGACUGGCCACAUAUCUUGGUUAUUAAUGUUUGCACCACCAACAGUAGAGUAAUGAACAAUAAAGGGGGAAGAUAUAUAAGUUCUUAAGUGUUGCUAGAUAGAGGGAAGAUUACUUUUUUGAACAUACGUGUGUGUGUGAAUGCUCAAGAGAAAAUGCAUUUGUAGAAAAUCAUACAAGGUGAAUCCAAGCCAACAAUCCAUCUGGAUACUAUACUUUAGUGGAGAUACUGGGUAUGUGUGAAAUCAAGUAAAUGAGCAUUUACAAGGCUGCAGAUCCGAAGGAAUUGGACGGGCAAGUGUCUUUGGAGGAUGAUAAUGAUACCAAGAUGAGAAGUUUGUAUUAAGAAAAAUUUCAAUUCUUCCCAGUUAUACAAAUACCAUGAGAGCACAUACUUAACGGUGUAUUGUAUUAUUUGAUGUGCGUAUGACCUCAUUACAGGUGUAUAUAAGGCUAGAUAGGCCACUUAUGCAAACCCAACAGAAAAGAUUGAGGGUCUUGAAUUUGAAAAUGCAAAAUAUGUACAAAAAGAUUGUUAUUUGCUGACGUGCAACGCAUGUGCACUCUACUUGUUUUUAGUAAUUAGUUUAGGGUUUAUUCCUUACUUUCCAAGUUAUGUUUAUAUAUAUAUGCAUUAGUUUGUUUUAGGGUUUUAAUCAUCAAAGAAAAUUAAU